UACAGAGGGGGCAAGCGUUGUUCGGAAUUACUGGGCGUAAAGGGCGCGUAGGCGGCCUUCUGAGUCGAACGUGAAAUCCCUGGGCUCAACCCAGGAACUGCGUCCGAUACUGGAAGGCUUGAAUCCGGGAGAGGGAUGCGGAAUUCCAGGUGUAGCGGUGAAAUGCGUAGAUAUCGAGAGGAACACCUGCGGCGAAGGCGGGUUGCUGGGCUGACACUGACGCUGAUGUGCGAAAGCUAGGGGAGCGAACGGG
rnacentral:rRNA from 1 species